rnacentral:sRNA from 1 species
CCCGAGUUGCGUACUCUUCUAUACCACUUAUCUAUUCCCUCCCAAAUUGGGAGAAAAAUAUGGCUCAGUCAUAUUUAAGAAAUCGCCCCUCCGUCGCCGGAGUGCAAGUUAUGGCAAAAAGCGUGGCAUCCGACAUGGGAAUAAAAAAAAAUAAAAUAAAAUUAAAAAAUAAAAUUAAAAUAAAAUUAAAAAAAUAAAAAAUCCCCAACGAAAGCAGGUUACUAGUAUGUAUGUGUUCGGGACGCAAGACAGCUCCGCUUUCAUACGCUUUCCAACAACCCCGCCGUAUACGUCUACCCCCACCCCUAUCUCCCCCGAGGAUGAAGUGGAAGAUAUGCAAAUGGACAGCUCAAAUAUUGAUCUACCCCCUCCCUUGCCAGUGUGUGUAAGACGGUGACCAUUUGUAUGUACCCCGGGUACAUCAAUUCCCCAAAAUGCUCGCUCCUGUGUGUGAAACACUCAAAGCAUUGCAUGGCAACAUGGAGUCACAGUACUUCAAAAGAAACGUGGCCAAAUGACACGACGCUUUUACUUUAAGGUAGUGAUUGAGCUCUCCGUCAGGCCCUGCUAACAAUCCAUCGAUGGGGUUACGCGAUUCCAACUCUCAACUGG